rnacentral:rRNA from 1 species
UACGGAGGGUGCGAGCGUUAUUCGGAAUCACUGGGCGUAAAGCGUGCGCAGGCGGCCCGUUAAGACAGGUGUGAAAUCCCUGGGCUCAACCUAGGAAUUGCGCUUGUGACUGGCGGGCUCGAGUACGGUAGAGGGGGGUGGAAUUCCUGGUGUAGCAGUGAAAUGCGUAGAGAUCAGGAGGAACACCGAUGGCGAAGGCAGCCCCCUGGGCCUGUACUGACGCUCAUGCACGAAAGCGUGGGGAGCAAACAGG